rnacentral:rRNA from 1 species
AGUGAACGCUGGCGGUAGGCCUAACACAUGCAAGUCGAACGGCAGCACAGUAAGAGCUUGCUCUUACGGGUGGCGAGUGGCGGACGGGUGAGGAAUACAUCGGAAUCUACUUUUUCGUGGGGGAUAACGUAGGGAAACUUACGCUAAUACCGCAUACGACCUACGGGUGAAAGCAGGGGAUCUUCGGACCUUGCGCGAUUGAAUGAGCCGAUGUCGGAUUAGCUAGUUGGCGGGGUAAAGGCCCACCAAGGCGACGAUCCGUAGCUGGUCUGAGAGGAUGAUCAGCCAAACUGGAACUGGGACACGGUCCAGACUCCUACGGGAGGCAGCAGUGGGGAAUAUUGGAAAAUGGGCGAAAGCCUGAUCCAGCCAUACCGCGUGGGUGAAGAAGGCCUUGGGGUUGUAAAGCCCUUUUGUGGGGAAAAAAAAGCAGCAGGUUAAUACCCCGCUGUUCUGACGGUACCAAAAAAAUAAGCACCGGCUAACUUCGU